CAUCUUCCUCACCCACUACCAUAAACAAAGUACAAAACAGUUUCAACGACAGAACUAAGAUCACAUCCAGACAAAUCCUUAAGCCCAUAAAAAAAUGCAGAAAAUAAAUUAACCAUUGAAUGACCUUUCCACAUUUGACCCAAGAAUCUUUAUCAAAUAGCAUCAACAUCGAACAGAGAAUCACACAAUUAUUAGUCUCCAAUCUCUAAAAUCAAGUGCAAAAUUUGCAAAUCUUUUAUCCAAUGAUAUAACCAGAGGACAAAACCCGAACAUAGGCAAGAACCGAUGGUAACAGCUGGCGUCUGGCGACGAGAUGGCUGAAUCAUGAUCACGAUCUGACAUCUGCCGUCUGUCGUGAGCUAAUCGAGGUUGCCGUCUGCCGCAAGGUGGCUGAAAGACCGUGACGGUGAGAUGGUGACUGGAGAGAGAGUGAGACUGAGCAUGGCUACGUGACAGAGAGAGGGGUUGCUGCUGUGCUAUGCUUGCUGCCACUGCACUCUAGUUUUUAGUUGCUACUGUGCUGUAGUUUUAGUUAGGGAAAUUUUAGGGAUUUUUGGUUUUUUCUUAAUUAAAAUUGCAUGAAACAAUCGGUUUGUGCAUUCGGUUUGGUUUUGGAGCUGUCCUGAACACAAACCAUUCGGUUCAUAAAAUGUACAAACCGUUGAUCAGUUUUUGCCUGUAAAAUCGAAUUAAGUAAUAUUGGUUUGGCUCGGUUUAGUUAGGCCAAAGUCCACGCAAAUGCCCAGCCCUCACUGCAGGAGAAUGCAGGUGUAAGAGAGCAUGAUAGCACCAGAGCAAAACCAUGGGAGAUAAGUUCAAUUAAAGAAGCUCGGCUGUUGAAUCCAAUAACAAGAGUGUGGUAGUUGGAAGCGUCUUCUAAGCCCAAUACAAGAAUCUAGAAUCU
rnacentral:lncRNA from 1 species